UCCAGACUCCUACGGGAGGCAGCAGUGGGGGAUAUUGCACAAUGGGGGGAACCCUGAUGCAGCGACGCCGCGUGGGUGAAGGAGUGCUUCGGCAUGUAAAGCCCUAUCGGCAGGGAAGAAGCAAGACGGUACCUGACUAAGAAGCCCCGGCUAACUACGUGCCAGCAGCCGCGGUAAUACGUAGGGGGCGAGCGUUAUCCGGAUUCACUGGGUGUAAAGGGAGCGUAGACGGCCAUGCAAGCCAGGGGUGAAAGCCCGGGGCCCAACCCCGGGACUGCCCUUGGAACUGUGUGGCUGGAGUGUCGGAGAGGCAGGCGGAAUUCCUAGUGUAGCGGUGAAAUGCGUAGAUAUUAGGAGGAACACCAGUGGCGAAGGCGGCCUACUGGACGGUGACUGACGCUGAGGCUCGAAAGCGUGGGGAGCAAACAGGAUUAGAUACCCCUGUA
rnacentral:rRNA from 1 species